CCUACGGGAGGCAGCAGUGAGGAAUAUUGGUCAAUGGGCGCGAGCCUGAACCAGCCAAGUCGCGUGAAGGAUGACUGCCCUACGGGUUGUAAACUUCUUUUAUACAGGAAUAAAGUGAGGCACGUGUGCCUUUUUGUAUGUACCUUACGAAUAAGGAUCGGCUAACUCCGUGCCAGCAGCCGCGGUAAUACGGAGGAUUCGAGCGUUAUCCGGAUUUAUUGGGUUUAAAGGGUGCGUAGAGGGGUUGUUAAGUCAGUUGUGAAAGUUCGGGGCUCAACCGUAAGAUUGCAAUUGAUCCUGGCAGGGUUAAGUACAGGUGAGGUAGGCGGAAUUCGUGGGGGAGCGGUGGAAUGCUUAGAUAUCACGAAGAACUCCGAUUGCGGAGGCAGCUUACUAAACUGCCACUGACAUUGAUGCACGAAAGUGUGGGGAUGGAACAGGAUUAGAUACCCCUGUAGUC
rnacentral:rRNA from 1 species